rnacentral:rRNA from 1 species
AACGAACGCUGGCGGCAUGCCUAACACAUGCAAGUCGAACGAGACCUUCGGGUCUAGUGGCGCACGGGUGCGUAACGCGUAGGAACCUGCCCUUAGGUUCGGAAUAACUCCCCGAAAGGGGUGCUAAUACCGGAUAAUGUCUUCGGACCAAAGAUUUAUCGCCUUUGGAUGGGCCCGCGUUGGAUUAGCUAGUUGGUAGGGUAAAAGCCUACCAAGGCGACGAUCCAUAGCUGGUCUGAGAGGAUGAUCAGCCACACUGGGACUGAGACACGACCCAGACUCCUACGGGAGGCAGCAGUGGGGAAUAUUGGACAAUGGGCGAAAGCCUGAUCCAGCAAUGCCGCGUGAGUGAUGAAGGCCUUAGGGUUGUAAAGCUCUUUUACCCGGGAUGAUAAUGACAGUACCGGGAGAAUAAGCUCCGGCUAACUCCGUG